rnacentral:rRNA from 1 species
AUACGGAGGGGGUUAGCGUUGUUCGGAAUUACUGGGCGUAAAGCGCACGUAGGCGGACUGGAAAGUUGGGGGUGAAAUCCCGGGGCUCAACCUCGGAACUGCCUCCAAAACUUCCAAUCUAGAGAUCGAGAGAGGUGAGUGGAAUUCCAAGUGUAGAGGUGAAAUUCGUAGAUAUUUGGAGGAACACCAGUGGCGAAGGCGGCUCACUGGCUCGAUACUGACGCUGAGGUGCGAAAGCGUGGGGAGCAAACAGGAUUAGAUACCCCGGUAGUCC